rnacentral:rRNA from 1 species
UGAACGCUAGCUACAGGCUUAACACAUGCAAGUCGCGGGGGCAGCAUAUAGAUAGCUUGCUAUUAUGAUGGCGACCGGCGCACGGGUGAGUAACGCGUAUCCAACCUUCCCCAUAGUAGGGUAUAGCCCGGCGAAAGUCGGAUUAAUCCCCUAUGUUGUUUGAAGCGGACAUCUAAUUCAAACCAAAGAUUCAUCGCUAUGGGAUGGGGAUGCGUCUGAUUAGGUUGCAGGCGGGGUAACGGCCCACCUGGCCGACGAUCAGUAGGGGUUCUGAGAGGAAGGUCCCCCACACUGGUACUGAGACACGGACCAGACUCCUACGGGAGGCAGCAGUGAGGAAUAUUGGUCAAUGGGCGCGAGCCUGAACCAGCCAAGUAGCGUGCAAGGAUGACGGCCCUACGGGUUGUAAACUGCUUUUAUGCGGGGAUAAAGUGCGGCACGUGUGCCGUUUUGCAGGUACCGCAUGAAUAAGGACCGGCUAAUUCCGUGCCAGCAGCAGC